CCUACGGGAGGCAGCAGUGGGGAAUAUUGGGCAAUGGAGGAAACUCUGACCCAGCAACGCCGCGUGAAUGAUGAAGGUCUUCGGAUUGUAAAGUUCUUUUCUUAGGGAAGAAGAAAGUGACGGUACCUUAGGAAUAAGCCUCGGCUAACUACGUGCCAGCAGCCGCGGUAAUGCGUAGGAGGCGGGCGUUAUCCGGAAUGACUGGGCGUAAAGGUUGCGUAGGUUGUUUGGCAAGUUAGGAGCGUAACGCCAGGGGUCAACCUUGGAACUACUACUAAAACUGGUGGACUUGAGUGCAGGAGGGGCAAGCGGAAUGCGUGGUGUAGCGGUGGAAUGCGUAGAUAUUAGGAGGAACACCAGUGGCGAAGGCAGGUUGCUAGAC
rnacentral:rRNA from 1 species